GUAGGUAUAGUUCAGUGGCAGAGCACUUGCUUAGCAUUCACGAGGUCCUGGGUUCAAUCCCCAGUACCUCCA
rnacentral:tRNA from 1 species